rnacentral:rRNA from 1 species
UGAGGAAUAUUGGUCAAUGGGCGAGAGCCUGAACCAGCCAAGCCGCGUGAGGGAAGAAGGCGCUCAGCGUCGUAAACCUCUUUAGCCGGGGGACAAAACCUCCUCGUGAAGGAGGCUUGAGAGUACCCGGAGAAUAAGCAUCGGCUAACUCCGUGCCAGCAGCCGCGGUAAUACGGAGGAUGCGAGCGUUAUCCGGAUUUAUUGGGUUUAAAGGGUGCGCAGGCGGACAUUCAAGUCUGCGGUCAAAUUCCGGGGCUCAACCCCGGCCAGCCGUGGAAACUGAAUGACUUGAGUGGGCGAGAGGUAUGCGGAAUGCGCGGUGUAGCGGUGAAAUGCUUAGAGAUCGCGCAGAACUCCGAUUGCGAAGGCAGCAUACCGGCGCCUUACUGACGCUCAGGCACGAAAGCGUGGGGAUCGAACAGGAUUAGAUACCCUGGUAGUCCACGCAGUAAACGAUGAAUGCUGGUUGUUCGGGCCGACUGAGGCCUGAGUAACGUAGUGAAAACGUUAAGCAUUCCACCUGGGGAGUACGCCGGCAACGGUGAAACUCAAAGGAAUUGACGGGGGCCCGCACAAGCGGAGGAACAUGUGGUUUAAUUCGAUGAUACGCGAGGAACCUUACCCGGGCUCAAACGGGAGCGGACGUGCGGAGAAAUCCGCAUUUCUUCGGACCGCUUCCGAGGUGCUGCAUGGUUGUCGUCAGCUCGUGCCGUGAGGUGUCGGCUUAAGUGCCAUAACGAGCGCAACCCCUGCGGACAGUUGCCAUCAGGUAGAGCUGGGCACUCUGUCCGGACUGCCGGCGCAAGCCGUGAGGAAGGCGGGGAUGACGUCAAAUCAGCACGGCCCUUACGUCCGGGGCGACACACGUGUUACAAUGGCUGUAACAAAGAGAAGCAGAGCCGUAAGGCCGAGCGGAUCUCAAAAAAGCAGUCUCAGUUCGGAUUGUGGGCUGCAACCCGCCCACAUGAAGUUGGAGUUGCUAGUAAUCGCGGAUCAGCAUGCCGCGGUGAAUACGUUCCC